rnacentral:rRNA from 1 species
GCUAGUUGUGCGGGUUUAGGCCCGCAGCGGAAGCUCAGUAACACGUGGCCAAACUACCCUGUGGAUGGGAACAAUCUCGGGAAACUGAGGCUAAUUCCCAAUAACGCUCCACCCCUGGAACGGGCGGAGCUGGAAACGCUACGGCGCCACAGGAUGUGGCUGCGGUCGAUUAGGUAGACGGUGGGGUAACGGCCCACCGUGCCAAUAAUCGGUACGGGUUGUGAGAGCAAGAGCCCGGAGACGGAAUCUGAGACAAGAUUCCGGGCCCUACGGGGCGCAGCAGGCGCGAAACCUUUACACUGUACGCAAGUGCGAUAAGGGGACUCCGAGUGUGAAGGCAUAGAGCCUUCACUUUUGUACACCGUAAGGUGGUGUACGAAUAAGGGCUGGGCAAGACCGGUGCCAGCCGCCGCGGUAAUACCGGCAGCCCGAGUGAUGGCCGAUAUUAUUGGGCCUAAAGCGUCCGUAGCUGGCCGGACAAGUCCGUUGGGAAAUCUGUUCGCUUAACGAGCAGGCGUCCAGCGGAAACUGUUCGGCUUGGGACCGGAAGACCUGAGGGGUACGUCCGGGGUAGGAGUGAAAUCCUGUAAUCCUGGACGGACCACCGGUGGCGAAAGCGCCUCAGGAGGACGGAUCCGACAGUGAGGGACGAAAGCUAGGGUCUCGAACCGGAUUAGAUACCCGGGUAGUCCUAGCUGUAAACGAUGCCGCCUAGGUGGUGGCGCAGGCUACGAGCCUGCGCUGUGCCGUAGGGAAGCCGAGAAGCGGGCCGCCUGGGAAGUACGUCUGCAAGGAUGAAACUUAAAGGAAUUGGCGGGGGAGCACUACAACCGGAGGAGCCUGCGGUUUAAUUGGACUCAACGCCGGACAUCUCACCAGCUCCGACAGUAGUAAUGACGGUUCAGG